rnacentral:rRNA from 1 species
CAGUAGCCACGGUAAUACGAAGGGGGCUAGCGUUGUUCGGAAUCACUGGGCGUAAAGGGUGCGUAGGCGGGAUCUUAAGUCAGGGGUGAAAUCCCGAGGCUCAACCUCGGAACUGCCUUUGAUACUGGGGUCCUUGAGUCCGGAAGAGGUGAGUGGAACUGCGAGUGUAGAGGUGAAAUUCGUAGAUAUUCGCAAGAACACCGGUGGCGAAGGCGGCUCACUGGUCCGGAACUGACGCUGAGGCACGACAGCGUGGGGAGCAAACAGGAUUAGAUACCCCAGUAGUCCCUGUCUCUUAUAC